GAGGGGCUAAAGCUCACAGCUGUUGCAGCAAAUUUCCCUGUUGCUUUCCAAACGUCCCUACGGGUGCAAGGCAAAACUUCAGGAGAGUUACUGAAGACCAGUGGGCAGUGACAGCAGAUUUAGAUGUAAACAAGAAAAAUCAGACCCUGGCAAGAUGUUUGCCAAGCUAUAACUUGUCAUAAAGCUAAACACAGGAUUCCUUUUGUGCCAGAUCUGUUGUAUUACUCUCUUCUCUUCAUUGCUGGAGUUCACACUGACCCAGCUCUCACAUAAUUACGAAAAACAGGACAUGCACAACAAUAACUACAAAGGCCCAGAGAGGAAGUUACAGCAUCACGACCAUUUGCCACUUAUAGGAAGACUUGCUCCAGGAUGACAGAUGUACGGCUUGGGAAAUGCUGCUGCGGCGGGGGGACUCAGAAGAGCUCAUCCAGGGCAUCAUGUGUCCAGAUUCCAGACUUGAACAACGUCUAGAGCAAACGUGAUAUCACAGUCUGUGAUAUUCAGAGACUAGACAGCCCAGAAGCCUCCCUGCUUUUAGGGUGUGUGACAAUUUGCUCUUAGAUUUUUUCAUGUUACAUGUGUCACAGCAAGGCAAGGAAGAAGCAGUGAAGCUGUGCUGGGAACAGUGCUCAUGCUGACAUGUUUUGCAACAGCAGUCCCUUGUAAACUAAUGAAGGCCCCACUUGACACCUCAGGCAACAGGGCAAGAGGCAGGCUGCUACAGUCAUUCAGGCACCUAUCUUUAAUGCACCAAGCUUGUCACACCAGCCCCUGACCUGGGUGUCAGCUACCCCUGGCCUGCACGCAGCAGGAGAAUCCCCCGGGAGAUGGGCUUCCUGCUUGAAGCCCACUCUGCUGGCUUGUUCAGGAAAGUGGCAGAGAGCACACACCCACCACCAUCAUCUGGAAGGGAGAUACUGAUCCUACAAGGAAGCCCUGACCCUCCAGGCCAAGAUACAACUUGUAUGUGUGUGACUCUGAGUGCCUACAGGUGCCAAGAGAUGCAGCCCUUUCCAGCCUGGCUUUCGUGGGUGAUGAAGUGUCACUGAAGGAGCAGGCAUGGGUCCCAGCAGGCAUCAGGGAAUGUCUGUGCCUCUGGGGCACUCAGGCUGAACAUCAGUCAGAACAUGUCUGCAGAAUGUUACAGACCAAUACACACAAGCCCUUGCAGUGGUUUUGUUCCUGUGUGUCCACGUUGUCCAAAGGCCCUGUGGCAGGUCUUGCAGUGUGACACUGACAUGAGACCCUUCCUGCAAGCACCAGGGUGGAUGCCAACAGCUCAGGUACUUUGCCAUGGGCACAGCCACCACCAGAGGUGCAGCUGAUGGCAAAGCCCCAUGUAGCCCCCACCGAGGGCCCAUGGAGCAAGAGGCAUGGCUGGGGUUUGCUGGCAGGUGGGAAGAGCCCUGAUGCUGCAUGCAGGGCUGGUGCAAGAUGGUGCAGGUGGGACUUUCCUAUGCUUCCUCGCUGACAGUGCCCAUCAUCCCACUGCUGCAGGGCUCUGCCUCAUCUCUCACAGAUUGCUGUUUGGAGGAUACAAGAGUACUACCAAGAAAACCAUGGUGUGCAGAAGGUGGCCCUAAGCAGGCUGAUCCUGGACUCAUUUUUAUAGGAUCUAUAAAAGCUUCCAGAAAUCAAUUUUCCUUGCCAUUACCUUUUCUUUGUCCUUGUGAGGAGCUCCAUCCCUCUCACCUUCUGCUGUGCUCAGAGCCAGCAGGAUUGUCCACUGACUCUGGAUGGAUGACAAAAGCCACCCCUGCUAAAUGAGAGCCUAACCUCCCUCUUUCCAGGGGAUAGUUCAUUCCUAGUGGACUCAUAAAUUUUCAGAAACUUAACUUUUCAGCUGAGUGUGGCUAAGCAUCUUCAGUGGCAGACAUUUUUCUGUUAUUGUGGAGGGUUUUGUGUGGUGGUUUUGUUUUGUUCUGGGUUUUGGGGUUUUAAAAUGUAUAUAUAUGAAAUAUAAAUCUGAGGAGGCAGUGGGGCUGGGUAUAGUUUUGUUUGUGUUUUGGUUUUUUUUUUUUUUUUUAUUUCUGUUGCAUAAGAGAAAGAUAUUUUUCCCUAGAUCUGGCAUGUGAUGAAUGUUUUUAGUGAGAUUGCUUAUGAACUUUGAUUAUACAAUAAAAAUACAAAUUCCAA